UAUGCACUAUUUUCUUUAGUACGAAAGGACCAAGAAAAUAGGACCCAUGCUCCAAGUAAGUCCUCAUUUAAACUGAAUAAAUAUCAAAACUUCAGUACCCUACAUCUCAAGAGCAGAACC
rnacentral:rRNA from 1 species